rnacentral:rRNA from 1 species
GACGAACGCUGGCGGCGUGCCUAAUACAUGCAAGUAGAACGCACAGUUUAUACCGUAGCUUGCUACACCAUAGACUGUGAGUUGCGAACGGGUGAGUAACGCGUAGGUAACCUGCCUGGUAGCGGGGGAUAACUAUUGGAAACGAUAGCUAAUACCGCAUAAUAUUAAUUAUUGCAUGAUAAUUAAUUGAAAGGUGCAAUUGCACCACUACCAGAUGGACCUGCGUUGUAUUAGCUAGUAGGUGAGGUAACGGCUCACCUAGGCGACGAUACAUAGCCGACCUUGGAGGGGGAUCGGCCAAACUGGGACUGAGACACGGCCCAGACUCCUACGGGGGGCAGCAGUAGGGAAUCUUCGGCAAUGGACGAAAGUCUGACCGAACAACGCCGCGUGGGUGAAGAAGGUUUUCGGAUCGUAAAGCUCUGUUGUAAGAGAAGAACGGGUGUGAGAGUUGAAAGUUCACACUGUGACGGUAUCUUAACAGAAAGGGACGGCUAACUACGUG